AGAGCGAACGCUGGCGGCAGGCUUAACACAUGCAAGUCGAGCGCCCCGCAAGGGGAGCGGCAGACGGGAGAGUAACACGUGGGAACGUACCUUUCGGUUCGGAACAACCCAGGGAAACUUGGGCUAAUACCGGAUACGCCCGCAAGGGGAAAGAUUUAUCGCCGGAAGAUCGGCCCGCGUCUGAUUAGCUAGUUGGUGAGGUAACGGCUCACCAAGGCGACGAUCAGUAGCUGGUCUGAGAGGAUGAUCAGCCUCACUGGGACUGAGACACGGCCCAGACUCCUACGGGAGGCAGCAGUGGGGAAUAUUGGACAAUGGGCGCAAGCCUGAUCCAGCCAUGCCGCGUGGGUGAUGAAGGCCCUAGGGUUGUAAAGCCCGUUUCGGCGGGGAAGAUAAUGACGGUACCCGCAGAAGAAGCCCCGGCUAACUUCGUGCCAGCAGCCGC
rnacentral:rRNA from 1 species